rnacentral:rRNA from 1 species
CAAUAGCGUAUAUUAAAGUUGUUGCGGUAAAAAAGCUCGUAGUUGGAUUUCUACCGAAGAUAGCCGGUCGGGUCUUCGACCUUGUAUCUGGUUUUGUCUUUGGUAUCCUCCUAGGGAACGUUUCUGCGCUUUAUUGCGUGGUGCGGUAUCUAUGACUUUUACUUUGAGGAAAUUAGAGUGUUCACGGCAGGCAAACGCCUUGAAUAUAUUAGCAUGGAAUAAUAACAUAGGAUCUUCGUCCUAUUUUGUUGGUUUCUAGGGCUAAGAUAAUGAUUAAUAGGGAUAAUUGGGGGCAUCUGUAUCAACGCGUCAGAGGUGGAAUUCUUGGAUUGCGUUGCGACAAACUACUGCGAAAGCAUUUGCCAAGGAUGUUUUCAUUGA